UACGUAUGGUGCAAGCGUUAUCCGGAUUUACUGGGUGUAAAGGGAGCGUAGGCGGCGCGUUAAGUCUGAUGUGAAAACCCGAGGCUCAACCACGGGAGUGCAUUGGAAACUGGCGAGCUGGAGUGCCGGAGAGGUAAGCGGAAUUCCUAGUGUAGCGGUGAAAUGCGUAGAUAUUAGGAGGAACACCAGUGGCGAAGGCGGCUUACUGGACGGCAACUGACGCUGAGGCUCGAAAGCGUGGGGAUCGAACAGG
rnacentral:rRNA from 1 species